rnacentral:lncRNA from 1 species
UAAAGCUUAUAAUGCCAUCCAUGUGCUGUCCCAAAUCAAAUUCAGAUGAAGGGGAUUUCUGCACAGAAAUGACAUAUCUAAAAUAAGCGAACUUACCAUAGACUUGUAAGAACGCAAAUCCGAAGAGCAGGAGUGGCGUCAGCAGACCCAUUUUGACAUAUUAAAAACAAUCCCGAUCGCUUGCGAGACCAAUUCCACAGAGAUUUUUAAAAAAGGAAAAAAAAAAAAAAGGGAAAAAAAGGAAAGAAGUAUCCAAAGCCAGUAAGAGGUAGGUCCAAAAGUUUUCAGUUUCCUAGCAGCUACUUAAAGUGGAAAGGGAAAUCUUCAAUUCAAAAGCUGAAGAUGCAAAGGUCUUGAAUGUGACACUUUUAGAUCCAUACAGAUUAGAGAAGGAGCGAGUGAGCUCCGAAGGCUUCUGCUUUCCACACACGCUCCUUCCUAAAUUCCCACCAAUCCAGCCCAAGCAGGGGAAUUAUUCAAGUGUGUCUAAGACUCUCUUUAGGAUCCAUAGCAAUCCAAAAGCAAGCUCUUUCUUCGGAAGACAAGGAGAGACUCUGAAAAAGGACCUGAUUCCUAGAAAGUGCUCCACAAACUUCCCGGCACUUUGCAGGAAAACCAUUGGUUUGGUUCGGCUAUUUUGCCUUCCUCUCGCUCUCGCCCUCCCCCUACCCCCUUUCUCUCUCCCUUUCUCUCCCCAAAUCAGUUCAAGCUGCAGAGUUUCUCACUUAACUUCCAUAAUAGGAACGCCCAGGCAAUGUGCUACACGGGAGGGGAACGGCUUGCUUCUCAGCAUCCCCUCAAAAGAGAAAAAAGGAAAAAAAGAAAAAAAAAAAAAAUAAAGCCGUGUCCCCUGCACCUCCCUCCUCACUGGCAGCGGAGCGGGAACUGUAGGAGGGCAGGACCCCGGCGCGGUGCCGAGCGCUGGCGGGGGCUGCGCGGAGUUGGGGGCUCUCCCGCCGCCGCGGCUCUCCCGGGCGGCCCCGGACUCCGCCGCUCCUCUCCUCGCUCCGCUCCUCUCUCCCCUCCUCUCCCGCCGCCUCCGCCUCCCGCCGCCGCGGACACACCGGCUGGCAGGGAGAGGGAGGAGAAUGAGCGCGGCUCCCGAGGCUGCCUGGGGAAGGGAGGCUGCGGGGUGUGGACUAAACCACUGCGCUCCACACCCACGCGUCCCUCUCUCUCUCCCUCUCUCUCUCUCUCUCUCUCUCCUCCCAGGCUAGGGAGAUGGGGACGGCGAUGCCAGCAGGCAGCCGCAGGGCUGGGAAUCAGGAUCGCUGCCUCCCCUCUACAGUUGGGUGUAGGUAGUAGGAUUUACAUGAUUGCUCCUCACCGCUUCCUCUUUAAUGGGCAGCUAAUUUUUCGCAGUGAAUUUUGA